UCCCUGCAUUCUCCGGGAACUAGCAAAGGGACAGGAGGGUGUAACCUUAGAGUUUCUUUAAUCACUGAUUUUAGGUAUCUCAGGUUUUGGAUAUCAGUUGUGGUGAAUCCCCUCAAUACAUAUAUCUCAGGUUCUUUAACCUUAGAGAGAAUUUGGAUAGCCUCACAAAUAAGGACAGCCUUCAUGGGAAAGAAAAUAAUUGAAGAAAAGUACUUCUUCAAUUAUUUUCUUUCCCAUGAAGGCUGUCCUUAUUUCACUCUGCGCCUUAGCCAUCACAUCUGGUUUUCGAAUCAUCUCAGCUAGUGCCCAUUCCACAGUUGUGGAUGAAUUUUCAAUCCCCCCUACGAACAUAUCCUGCAAGAAUACAUACCAAAAUGCUGUCAAAUACAUAUAUCUCAGGUUCUUUAACCUUAGAGAGAAUUUGGAUAGCCUCACAAAUAAGGACAGCCUUCAUGGGAAAGAAAAUAAUUGAAGAAAAGUACUUCUUCA
rnacentral:lncRNA from 1 species